rnacentral:lncRNA from 1 species
UCUUUCCAUGAGGAGCAAAACCCCGUUGCUGGCUGCUUCUCUGGUGACGUCCUGAUCCCCUGCAAAAGCUGAAAUCACUGGGUAGCCGUUUUGCAUUAAACUUACCUGGAUUGUUUGUCUGUUAUAGACCUUGACCACGUGGAAACUGAAACUAUAUAUCCCUUUCCUUGGUGCUACAAAUAUACUGGAAGCAAGAUCAAAAUGGUUGCCAAUAUUAACUAAUACCUGGAAAGUAAACAAAGGAAAAAGAAAGGGAGAGAGACAGAGAAAAAAGAGAGAAAGAAAUCAGA